GGAGGCACCAACAUGCCGCAGGCAUGAUUUUCAUGUGCCGACCGAUAUGCCGCCGACCGGAGGGAGGGGGCGAUACU
rnacentral:sRNA from 1 species